rnacentral:rRNA from 1 species
AGUGAUUUUUAAAUUGCCGCAGUAUUUUGACUGUGCAAAGGUAGCAUAAUAGAUUGUCUUUUAAUUGAAGGCUGGAAUGAAUGAUGGGAUGCGAUUAGCACUGUCUUUACUAUGUAUGAUUGAAAUUUACUUUUUGAUGAGAAGGUUAAGAUUUAAUUGAUAGACGAGAAGACCCUAUUAAGCUUUAUUACAAAAGUGGUUUUGUUAUUUAUAUCCGUAGACGGAUAUGUAUUGUAAUUUUGUUGGGGCAACACUUGAAUAUAUGAUAAUUUUUUGUGGAUUGGUUAAAUUAUGACCCAUUAUUAGUGAUUAUUGGAGUAAGUUACUAUAGGGAUAACAGCGUAAUUAACUUGGAGAGUUCAUAUUGGUAAGUUAGAUUGCGACCUCGAUGUUGGUUUAAUGAUUCCUUAGGGUGUAGCAGCUUUAUGGGAG